UAUAAAGUGGCGAACGGCUGAGUAACACGUGGGCAACCUGCCCUUUGCACUGGGAUAGCCUCGGGAAACCAGGUUAAUACCGGAUACUCCAUAUUUGUCGCAUGGCGAAUAUGGGAAAGCUCCGGCGGCAAAGGAUGGGCCCGCGGCCUGUUAGCUAGUUGGUGGGGUAGUGGCCUACCAAGGCAAUGAUGGGUAGCCGGGUUGAGAGACCGACCGGCCAGAUUGGGACUGAGACACGGCCCAGACUCCUACGGGAGGCAGCAGCC
rnacentral:rRNA from 1 species